AUGGGUGGUCUUUUUGAGGCUAUAACUGGUUAUGGUCUUGGUGGGUCUUCUAUGGCUUUGUUUGGAAGAGUUGGUGGAGGAUCCAAGAAAUCCAGCUGUAAGAAAUAUAAUCCUGAAACUAGGCCCCCUUAUUUGGUUGACCCAAAAAAGAGAAGGCAGUAUGACAGUGCUGGAUUUGAGGCCCUUGAUGCGGAUAGCAUGGACAUGGAAAUUGAUUUAUCUAAUCUUGGGACUGUGAACACAAUGUUUACAGCUUUAUUCAGCAAAAUGGGUGUCCCUAUCAAGACUACCAUUUCAGCUAAUGUUCUUGAAGAAGCUCUGAAUGGAACAGUUACAAUCAGACCCCUUCCAAUUGUUCUACUUUGAACAAGAUGCAAAUGGAGGCUAUGGUUUAGCAUUGCAGGAAGAUAGUGAGAAGACUGGCAAGGUGACAUCUGCAGGAAUGUAUUUCUUACAUUUUCAAGUGUAUAGAAUGGAUUCGACGGUGAAUGCGUUAGCAAUGGCCAAGGAUCCUGAAGGGGCCUUCUUUAAAAGGUUGGAAGGUCUUCAGCCUUGUGAAGUCUCGGAACUAAAGCCUGGCACUCAUAUAUUUGCUGUUUAUGGAGAUAACUUCUUUAAGUCUGCUAGCUAUAUGAUUGAGGCAGUAUGUGCAAAAUCAUAUGAAGAUACCACCCAAAAACUGAAGGACAUUGAAGCUCAAAUUUUAAGAAAGAGGAAUGAGCUACGCCAAUUUGAAGCAGAAUAUAGAAAGGUUAUUAUUCUCUUAAGUAAUCAGCUCUCAGGAUGCGUCAUCUGUGAUCAAGUAUGCAAAAAGCCAUAAGAAGCCAACAACCACCAUCAAAUUUCAACGAACAUUUGUUGGAAUAAAGCCAGCACCAGCUGUUACCAUUUACUUUUCAAGAGGUCCUUCAGCAAGCUAUCAUGGGGUCUUGAAGCCUGACAUAAUGGCACCUAGCUCUAAUGUUCUUGCUGCUUAUGUUCCUACAGAACUAGUAGCAACAAUUGGCAACAAGGUGAUGUUAUCUAGUGGCUACAAUUUGCUGUCUGGAACAUCCAUGGCAUGCCCUCAUGCUUCUGGUGUUGCUGCUCUUUUGAAAGCUGCACACACUAAAUGGAGUGCUGCUGCUAUAAGGUUUAUGUCAACAAAAGUCGGAAGGAGUUGAUAGGCCGCAAUGGUCCACAUUUAGUCAUGUUAACUACUCAGGUUCUCUUUCAUCCACAUUUGGUAGCAAGGCUACUCACUGUAAGGUCGAUUCUAGAAGAAAAAUGCUACUCACUGUGUCAUGCAAUGCAGAAGACAUGUUGCUUCCACGCGGUAAUUUUACAUUUUCUGAUACUUGCUGUGAAGAAACUAGACAAGAGAGUUUCUAAUCACCAAACAAAUGAUGAGUUUCUCGAAUUGAUAAACAGUAUUGACAUAAUCCGGCAUCCAAAUAUUGUUGAGCUUAUUGGGUACUGUGCAUAGCAUGGCCAAAGGCUUCUUAUUUAUGAGUAUUGCAGUAAUGGGUCGUUGCAGGAUGCACUCCAUUCAGAUGAUGAAUUCAAAACAAGAUUGUCAUGGAAUAGUAGGUACAAGUAAACUGAAUUUUACCUACAGUAGACCGUAGGUACAAGUAAACUGACUUUUACCUACAGUUAGAGAUUAUAGGUAUAAAUUAAUAUUUUUUACCUACACAUUUGAAAUAGUAGGUGUUACCUAUAAUGAUAGUUAAAUUUGACUGUAGGUAAAAAUAUAUCCGUAGGUAAAGCCUAUAGUGACAGACUAUUAGUUGUCACUGUAUACCCCCUCAAAGUUGACGCAAAAAACGUCUGUAGGACAAAGUCCUUUAUACAUCUACCUACGGAUUUUGGACUUCUAGUGAUA